rnacentral:rRNA from 1 species
CCUACGGGGGGCAGCAGUGAGGAAUAUUGGUCAAUGGGCGGAAGCCUGAACCAGCCAAGUAGCGUGCGGGAUGAAGGCCCUACGGGUCGUAAACCGCUUUUGCACGGGGACAACACCCUCCACUUGUGGAGGUCUGCAGGUACCGUGCGAAUAAGGGCCGGCUAAGUCCGUGCCAGCAGCCGCGGUAAUACGGAAGGCACGAGCGUUAUCCGGAUUUAUUGGGUUUAAAGGGAGCGUAGGCGGGCGUUCAAGUCAGCUGUAAAAGCGAGCGGCGCAACCGCGCCCCGCAGUUGAAACUGGACGCCUUGAGUUCGCAACAGGCAGGCGGAAUGCGUGGUGUAGCGGUGAAAUGCAUAGAUAUCACGAGGAACCCCGAUUGCGAAGGCAGCCUGCCGGGGUGCGACUGACGCUGAGGCUCGAAGGUGCGGGUAUCGAACAGGAUUAGAUACCCUUGUAGUC